ACAUCCAUUUGUCAUCAUUUUAGCAUCAUAUCAUCACUGUUUUAUACCAUUUCUCAUCAUUUGUCAUCACUUUGCAUGUUUAGGAUAUGUUUGCAUGCAUGUUGCAUAUUUGUGUUGAUUUCAUGUGAUUUGGAGCUGUUGACGAGCUAACUGGAAGAAGCGGACCUGAUCAUGUCAAACCACUCGACCACGAGGUCGAGUAGAAGCUUCAAGACCUCAACAGACCACUCGACCCCCUGGUCGAGUAGGGGACUUCAUAAUUUCAUCUCGUUUUACGAUUUGAGUCGGCCUCGGCAUUUAACAGUGGUGAUGAAGAUACUCGACUUCAAGGUAGAGUGACGUGAUCGAGUGAUGGUCAGGUGGUGGAGGUGAAGACACUCGACCUCGAGGUCGAGUGAUGUGAUCGAGUGACGGUCAGGUGGUGGAGGUGACUACACCCGACCAGGGCCCAU
rnacentral:sRNA from 1 species